rnacentral:tRNA from 1 species
GCUGGCUCAAUCAGUAGAGCAUGUGACUCUUGAUCUCGGGGUUGUGAGUUCAAGCCUCACUUUGGGCA